CCUACGGGGGGCUGCAGUGGGGAAUAUUGCACAAUGGGCGCAAGCCUGAUGCAGCCAUGCCGCGUGUGUGAAGAAGGCCUUCGGGUUGUAAAGCACUUUCAGCGGGGAGGAAGGCGGUGAGGUUAAUAACCUCAUCGAUUGACGUUACCCGCAGAAGAAGCACCGGCUAACUCCGUGCCAGCAGCCGCGGUAAUACGGAGGGUGCAAGCGUUAAUCGGAAUUACUGGGCGUAAAGCGCACGCAGGCGGUCUGUCAAGUCGGAUGUGAAAUCCCCGGGCUCAACCUGGGAACUGCAUUCGAAACUGGCAGGCUAGAGUCUUGUAGAGGGGGGGAGAAUUCCAGGUGUAGCGGUGAAAUGCGGAGAGAUCUGGAGGAAUACCGGGGGCGAAGGCGGCCCCCUGGACAAAGACUGACGCUCAGGUGCGAAAGCGUGGGGAGCAAACAGGAUUAGAUACCCCGGUAGUC
rnacentral:rRNA from 1 species